rnacentral:rRNA from 1 species
UCGAGAAUCAUUCGCAAUGGGCGAAAGCCUGACGAUGCGACGCCGUGUGAACGAAGAAGGCCUUAGGGUCGUAAAGUUCUUUCGCUUAGGAACAAGAGAAACUGGAUAAUACCCAGUUGAUUUGAGGGUACUAGGUAAAGAAGCACCGGCUAACUCCGUGCCAGCAGCUGCGGUAAUACGGAGGGUGCAAGCAUUAAUCGGAUUUAUUGGGCGUAAAGGGCGCGUAGGCGGAAAUGAAAGUCAGAUGUGAAAUUUUUGGGCUCAACCUAAAAGCUGCAUUUGAAACUUCAUUUCUAGAGGGUAGAAGGAGAAAACGGAAUUCCACAAGUAGCGGUGAAAUGCGUAGAUAUGUGGAAGAACACCGGUGGCGAAGGCGGUUUUCUAUUUUAUUCCUGACGCUGAGGCGCGAAAGCAAGGGGAUCAAACAGGAUUAGAUACCCCGGUAGUCC